AGAGUUUGAUCAUGGCUCAGAACGAACGCUGGCGGUAUGCUUAACACAUGCAAGUCGAACGAGCAUAGUUUUUCGAAAACUAUGUUAGUGGCAGACGGGUGAGUAACGCGUGGGAACGUACCUUUUGGUUCUGAACAACGUCUGGAAACGGACGCUAAUACAGGAUAAGCCCUGAGGGGGAAAGAUUUAUUGCCAAAAGAGCGGCCCGCGUCAGAUUAGGUAGUUGGUAGAGUAAUGGUUUACCAAGCCGAUGAUCUGUAGCUGGUUUGAGAGGAUGAUCAGCCACACUGGGACUGAGACACGGCCCAGACUCCUACGGGAGGCAGCAGUGGGGAAUAUUGGACAAUGGGGGCAACCCUGAUCCAGCAAUACCGCGUGAGUGAAGAAGGCCUUCGGGUUGUAAAGCUCUUUUAUCAGGGACGAUAAUGACGGUACCUGAGGAAUAAGCUCCGGCUAACUUCGUG
rnacentral:rRNA from 1 species